rnacentral:rRNA from 1 species
GUUAGGAAUAUUGGACAAUGGGCGAAAGCCUGAUCCAGCCAUGCCGCGUGAACGAUGAAGGCCUUCGGGUUGUAAAGUUCUUUAGCCGAUGAUUAUAAUGACUGUAGUCGGAAAAUAAGCCCCGGCUAACUUCGUGCCAGCAGCCACGGUAAUACUAAGGCGGCGAGCGUUAUUCGGAAUCACUGGGCGUAAAGCGUGCGUAGGAGGUUUUGUAAGUUAGGAGUGAAAGGCCAGGGCUCAUACUUGGAAUUGCUCUUAAAACUGCAAGGCUCGAAGCUCGGAGAGGAUAGCGGAAUUUCCAGUGUAGCAGUGAAAUGCGUAGAUAUUGGAAGGAACACCAGUGGCGUAAGCGGCUAUCUGGACGAGUAUUGACGCUGAGGCACGAGAGCGUGGGGAUCAAACAGGAUUAGAUACCCUGGUAGUCC